CUGAUUACAAACCAGAGGCUUAGCCGGGCGUGGGGGCGCGCCUGUCGGCCCAGCACCAGGGAGGCUGAGGCAGGAGGAU
rnacentral:miRNA from 1 species